UACGUAGGGUGCAAGCGUUAUCCGGAAUUAUUGGGCGUAAAGAGCUCGUAGGCGGUUUGUCACGUCUGCUGUGAAAACUGGAGGCUCAACCUCCAGCCUGCAGUGGGUACGGGCAGACUAGAGUGCGGUAGGGGAGAUUGGAAUUCCUGGUGUAGCGGUGGAAUGCGCAGAUACCAGGAGGAACACCGAUGGCGAAGGCGGCUCUCUGGGACGGUACUGACGCUGAGACGCGAAAGCGUGGGGAGCGAACAGG
rnacentral:rRNA from 1 species